rnacentral:rRNA from 1 species
ACUCCUACGGGAGGCAGCAGUGGGGAAUAUUGCACAAUGGGGGAAACCCUGAUGCAGCCAUGCCGCGUGUGUGAAGAAGGCCUUCGGUUGUAAGCACUUUCAGUAGGGAGGAAGGUAGUGUAGUUAACACCUGCAUUAUUUGUACGUUACCUACAGAAGAAGCACCGGCUAACUCCGUGCCAGCAGCCGCGGUAAUACGGAGGGUGCGAGCGUUAAUCGGAAUUACUGGGCGUAAAGCGCAUGCAGGCGGCCUGUUAAGUCAGAUGUGAAAGCCCGGGGCUUAACCUCGGAAUUGCAUUUGAAACUGGCAGGCUAGAGUCUUGUAGAGGGGGGUAG